GGGGCUGUAGCCCAAUGGCAGAGCGCUUGCCUAGAAUGACAGAGGCACUGAGUUUGAUCCUCAGCACCACA
rnacentral:tRNA from 1 species